rnacentral:rRNA from 1 species
AUUGAACGCUGGCGGCAGGCCUAACACAUGCAAGUCGAACGGUAGCACAGAGGAGCUUGCUCCUUGGGUGACGAGUGGCGGACGGGUGAGUAAUGUCUGGGAAACUGCCCGAUGGAGGGGGAUAACUACUGGAAACGGUAGCUAAUACCGCAUAACGUCGCAAGACCAAAGAGGGGGACCUUCGGGCCUCUUGCCAUCGGAUGUGCCCAGAUGGGAUUAGCUAGUAGGUGGGGUAACGGCUCACCUAGGCGACGAUCCCUAGCUGGUCUGAGAGGAUGACCAGCCACACUGGAACUGAGACACGGUCCAGACUCCUACGGGAGGCAGCAGUGGGGAAUAUUGCACAAUGGGCGCAAGCCUGAUGCAGCCAUGCCGCGUGUAUGAAGAAGGCCUUCGGGUUGUAAAGUACUUUCAGCGAGGAGGAAGGCGUUGUGGUUAAUAACCGCAGCGAUUGACGUUACUCGCACAAGAAGCACCGGCUAACUCCG